UAACUCCUUCAAGCUGCUGUUUGUUUCUCUUCCAAAGCUUUUGGAUUGGACACGUGGGCUUCAAAUCAUCCACAUACACAAUAUAAGAAGAAAACAAAUACCACCGUUCCUCCUAGAAAUUUCCCCCACCGGUGCUCCUGGCUAUUUCCCAAAGCUUCUCCCUGCCAAAUUUUCUUGCAUAUAUUGGGUUACCCACGUGGGAUUCAAAUCACCGACGCCGACAAUGAAGAUGAAAACAAAUUUCACCACUUCGAAGAGCAAAUCUCACCGCCCCACAGGUCUAACUCGCACUCAUGAUGCUGGCUGGAUUUUGGUUUUCAUGCCGUGUGUUUCUGCAUCAAACAUUGAAUUUCUCACGAUAUAUAUAUAUAUAUAUAUCUUUCGGAUAGAAUUGCUAUUACACUAUUCUUCACAUCAUUGUCGGCAUUGUUGUCGAAGUUGGUCAUCCAAAGCUCUGCUUCCACCGUUGCAAAUCCUGGAUGCUAAAGGGAACGAUGUGGAUCUAGCAUCUACAAAGGGAAGAUCCUGUUGAUUGUGAACGUUGCAUCACAAUGUCACUUGACCAAUUCAAAUUACAAUGAGUUGAGCCAGUUGUAUGAGAAGUACAAAGAUCAAGGUUUGCUUUGACUUGUUUUGAGUUAUACAGCACAUUUAUUUUUAUAAACAUGCUAACAUAGAAAUUGUUAGUGGCUUGAUCAAUUCAAAUUACAGAGUUAUAACUUGUACUUGUAUCAGCCAUGGUAUUGGGCGUAUUGCCUCUUUUUAGUGAUAACGCAGCAUCAGUAAAGUUCCUCAACAAAUUUUGUUUAAGUUGUGUUUCUUCUGUUGUGAAUUAGGUGUGAUAUUGUUUGCCGUGAAAAGUCAAUUACAGAUGGUAAACAAUUGAAAUGGUAUGCAUUGCUACUUAUGGAUAAUCUUAAAAGGCAUAAAAUUGGGGUUUAGAAGUGGAUUCUUUCCUAAUACUUUGGUUUUUUUAAUGUAUGGAAGAAAUGAAAUUUGUCAAGAAUGGACUGCAUUAGGCAUUCUCUUGAUGCUUGAUUUGUUCUUCAAUGUAUGUGUAGCAAUUCAUAUAAUAUUGUAUUUUCGC